rnacentral:rRNA from 1 species
UGCGUAGGCGGCCCAAUAAGUCAGGUGUGAAAGCCCUCGGCUCAACCGGGGAAUUGCACUUGAAACUAUUGGGCUUGAGUCUCGGAGAGGGUGGCGGAAUUCCAGGUGUAGGAGUGAAAUCCGUAGAUAUCUGGAGGAACACCAGUGGCGAAGGCGGCCACCUGGACGAGUACUGACGCUGAGGUACGAAAGCGUGGGUAGCAAACA